CGGACGGGUGAGUAACGCGUGGGUAACCUGCCUCACACAGGGGGAUAACAGUUAGAAAUGACUGCUAAUACCGCAUAACCCGAUAGGAUCGCAUGAUCCAGACGGAAAAGAUUUAUCGGUGUGAGAUGGACCCGCGUCUGAUUAGCUAGUUGGUGAGGUAACGGCCCACCAAGGCAACGAUCAGUAGCCGGCCUGAGAGGGUGAACGGCCACAUUGGGACUGAGACACGGCCCAA
rnacentral:rRNA from 1 species